AUAAUAAUAAUGAAUAGUUUAUCUCUCUCAUAGCUUAAAAUUUUUAGAUCAAAAUAUUUUCUUACUUCUUCAAAGAAUAAAGAUUAAGAAGCAAUGUAAGAUUAUAUUUUUGUUUGCCAACCCUUACUGAUAGUUGGAGUGGCUCUUUUCCUUUUUUAAGUCGUUUAUUCUUGUGUGGGGGGUUUGUAAUUCUUUUCUGAUUAUGCUAAACUGUAAACUUUAUUUGAUUUGCGAUUUAUCUAAUAGCGGGUUUCUCUGCAUGUGUAUAGCUCGACUCAACGAAUGAAAUAAAUUGUUUGUUUUGUGUAGAUUCGCAUGCUUCAUUGAUUUGUUUGAAUAAAUGGUUGUGCAUUGGAAUUGAAUUAUUAUUGAAGAUAAGAAUCCAGUAAAUAGAUGAUACUGUAAUUGUUUUUGGUCGGUUCAUGUUAUAUCUAUUCAACUUCAUUAUUUGGUUGAUCCUAAUUAGUUGUCAUUGCAUAUGUUGCUUUUGCCCUUUCUAGGAUUUCUAAUUUUCUUUUGUUAUACUCUCCUAAGUUGCCGUUGGUUUGAUAUAUUUAAUUGGUUUCCUAGAAUGACGCUGAUUCCUAUUUAAAUAAUUUAUAGUAGUCAUGUCCAAGUUAUGAGAAUUUUUAUGUGGGUACUUUGCUCUGCUUGUAGAAGGAAGAUUUACAGAACCUAUUUUUUAUAGACUCUCAACACUGCUAGUUCUGGUCAUACCUUUUGGUCUGAUGUUGAAUUGAAGUUGUGACAGUCGACAGAGUUGUGUGUUUUAAUAUAUUUCAGAUGCAGAUCUUUGGUAGCAAGCACCUUGUUGCACUCCGGAUUUUCGCACGUUAAAGUCGCAUCAUGAGUUAGUCGACGCAAGUUCAAACGAAAUUAUCUUGAGGUUAAAAGGGAUUAAGCUUAUUAAUAUAAAUGGCUAUAAGAGUCUAAAAAAAUAUUAGUAAGUGACAGAAGAUUUGGAGGGUGAAUGAAUCAAAGAAGCAUGAGUUUCGUAAAAAAUCGGCAAGUUGGGAAUACGAUAACUUGUACUUUUGGGUGAGAUUAAGAGUGCGUCACAUGCUAAGUAAGUAAUGAUAUGAAGUAUUUGAAUCGUAUAAUGGUCCCUUGUUAAGUUUGGAAGUCAAACGAGUUGUAGUACGAAAGUCGACAAAGGGCGUCGCAAGUUAAGUUUGUAAAUUCCACUGAAAUUUGGGUCAGAUGUCGCGGAGCUUUUCUCUCAAUCUACUUGGAGUUACGGGGUGAUCCACCUAUCAAAUCGAAGGUCUACAAGUCUAGUUUCCAUCGCAUUUUACCGUUUAUCGGUACAACAUCGGAGUAGAGAGAUAUUCGCAUUUUCGUCAAAGGACGCAAACUGCCGCGGGAACAGCGAGUAUGGUCGGUGGCUUCAUUUUAGCCCUUGUAUAUAUAUGACUCUUGAACGAUUUUUGCCCCAUUUCUUCAGCUCCACAGACCAGCAAAACCCUAUUAUACUCCCUUAAACAUUCCUUGAUCAAUCCUAACCAAACUUAAGAGCUAAUCAACCAACUCUAACGCAAGGAACAACGUGGCAAUCAUAAAAUUGUGAUUUUCUCGCUAUUUCACUUCUCGGAAGGAAACCCCACCUUGAAUUAACUAGUAGUUUGGAGUGUUUUUCAUCAUUUAAGGAAAUCGUUCGUAAGACAUUCGAGGACUCGGGAAACAUAUAUAACUCCAUCGACGAGGUAUGCAGGGCUUUCUAUUCUCUUUGUGGCAUGACUAUAUUUCAUAUGACCUUUCAUUGAAAAGUUGCUCCGUUAACUUGGAUCGAUUGCGUUCCAUGACAAUUGAGCUGACCCGUACUUCAUCUAUGACUUGUACACCAAAGUAUAUUCCAUGUUCCAUAUCUCCUUUUGGUUAUCGAUUAAAAGACUUUCCGUUCAACUUGCGUCGAUUAUGUUCCAAAAUGGUUAAGCUUACCCUUUUCUCAUGAAUAGCUUGUAUUGAAGUACCUUUCGCAUUUUAUAUCCCUCUUGUUUAUCGAAUGAAGAAUGAUAUUCGUUACGAUACUCUUCACGUUAAAGUUGAGUUGAUUGUACUUCCUUUAAUUGAGUUAAUCCUUAUCUUCUUGUUUAUUGCUCAAAGGUGAUGAACCUCCCGAUGGUACACUUUUUCAGAUAAAAGUUGUGUCGAUCAUAUUUCAUAAGAGUUUGGCCAACUUUGGCUUUGUGUAUAAUUCAUAACAAGAUGUUCCCCUGUACUUUUAUUUCUUUGGCCUAUUGAUUAAAGAAUGAUGAACGUAGCGACAAUAACGAUAGUCGGAGGAUAGCGACAAUAGGUCACUCCGACUCUUUCUAUGAUAUCCCUUCUGAGGCCGGUCUUGCAUUGCACUUAUAUAUAUAUAUAUAUAUAUAUAUAUAUAUAUAUAUAUAUAUAUAUAUAUAUAUAUAUAUAUAUAUAUAUAUAUAUAUAUGUAUUUAUUUUCAUUACCACGCCGUGUCAGAUAUGGCCGGCCAAGCAGGCACGUAGAUGUGCACCUAGAUGUAUAUCUUUCAUUACCGUGCCGUGUCCGAUACAGCCGGGCAGGCACGUAGCUGUGCAUACCGCUGAUCAGUUGGGCAGAGAUGAUGAUAUUAUGAUGAGCUCACCCCACAGAGGGAUAUAUAAUAUUAUAUGAUGUAACAUGUUAUAAGCCUCCACCGUGAGGAAUGAUUUUUACGAGCAUACAGUUAUAUUCACGUUGUGGUUAUGAUUGCCCUCAACGGCUUGUUUCAGAGUUCAGGUUGCCUCUAUAUCUCCCCUCUUGUUAUUUAUAUUUUUUAUGCUUACACUUACCGCCCUACAUACUCAGUACAUAUUUUGUACUGACGCAUUUUGUGCGCUGUGAUCAUGCCCACAUGUACGGGUAGACGGAUUGAUGUACCUUUCUCAGUAGGAUACCAGAAUUCAGCAGGGAUGUUCGCACUCCGAAGUUGCUGGUCAGAGUCAUCAAAUAGGAUGCAUGCAUGUGUAUAUAUAUAUAAUGAGUAUGGCUAUAGGUACGUCGGGGCCCUGUCCCCCUCCAGUUGAUACAUAUUAGUGCUCUUAGAGGCUUACAGACUAUCAGUCAGUGUAUAGGUGUUGUGGUUGGCCUUGCCAGCCUUUUGACUAGUUGUCUUUCUUGGUUGCGGCCUUGUCGGCCCUAGUUAUGCAUAUAUGUGUUGUCGGGCCUUUUCUGCUUGCAGGUUGUCGUAAUAUACUUCUUAAAACUGUUAUUCAGCGGCCUUGUCGGCCUAUGAUUCAUGUUACAGAGUUCAAAUAUCACAGUUGGUUCGCUUGGUCCUUCGGGUGCCGGGUGCCGGCCACACCCCUCAUGUUGGGGGGUGACACGGCCGGUCACUGAGGGGGACGAGGAGGAUGAGCCCAUUAAGGUGAAUAAUAGGCUGUUAAGUGAUGCACCCGAGCAUGAGAUACUGGCUCAAAAACUUGUUUCAAAUGAGGAGCUCAGUCAACAGCACUCUGUGAUACUACAAGAAUUGAUACAGUAGUUAGAGACAGGAACCAGCUUGGUGUUUGAAGUAAUUAGGGAUGAUCGUGUCAUUCCUCAAUUAGUUUAGUUUCUAGAGAAGCCGCAUCUCAGGGAGGCUGCUGCUCAGGUUCUCAGAAGAAUUGUUGGUCGUUCUCACUCACAGAAUCUUUUUGAGUAUGUGGUUAAGCAUGACCUGGUGAGAAUUUAUGUAGAUCUGUGGAAAUCUGAAUCAACUUGUGGGCAGGAGGCUGCCUGGGCACUUGGGUUUGUUGCUGCUGAUUGUGAAAUCCGUGAUCUUGUCCUUACGCAUACUGAUUUUCUUGAUUUCCUGGGCCAGUUGAAGAAAGAUGAUACUCUUGACAAUCAGAAAAGAACAGCGCUGACUCUAUUGAAUUUUUAUGAAGGCAAGGAUCAACCUGCAUUUGAGCAGGUCGGUUGAAAAGUUUUUAUGCCUGCAGCUAUUGAAUUUUUAUGAAGGCAAGGAUCAACCUGCAUUUAAGCAGGUUGGUUGAAAAGUUUUUAUGCCUGCAGUUAUUUAAGGUUCUGUUAAAAUGAAAGGACUUAUUAGACGUGUGUUACAUAUACCUAUUACAAUUCAUUUGUCAAGUGAGAUCAGCACUCAGAGCUCUUCGUACCCUUGUUCAUUCAGAGGACGAAGAAGUGCUAAUAAAUGCAUGCGCGGCAAUUUAUUACCUUUCUGCUCCCAAUGACGACAAUAUUGACACACCUAGAAAGCACGACAAUAUUCAAGAAAUCAUUGACUCCAAUGUUUGUCUGCGGCUAGUUGAUCUACUCAGGCAUGAAAUAUUGUUUCUGAUGUCAGACUCGGACGCUCAAUGCCGGUACAUUUUUAAGCCUGAAUCCAAAUACUUGAGGGGAAUUAAAUUUUGUCUUGUUCCUCUGUACAUCUGAGCCAUCUAGUUUGAACCAGUUGUCAUUUCCAUGUGCAAACCGUUUGAACAAAAAGAUACAAAAAGAUACAUCUGCAAACCGUUUGAACCAGUUGUCAUUUCCAUGUUAUUCCAAAGAUAAGCCUCAAAUGGUUGGGCCAGUGCAUCUUAAAAAAGAACACACUGGAAAAAUGGAUCUUUUAUUUUUGUUUUUUCUUUCAAUCUUCUGCUAAAAUGCAACUGUGUCAGAUAUCAACCAUCUGCACUCACCUGCUGAGCUUGCUUUUAAAGACCUUCAACGUAGUAUUUAGCCCGGUCUGCCCGAUUACAGCGAAUAUUUUUAAUUGGCGUUGUACGCCAAAGGUUGCUGAGCAGAUACAGUUUGGAAUAUGCCAGAUUUUAAAGAAUAUUAUUUCCGCUGGGAACAAUGAGCAGAUACAGGUAUGUCUUCAAGUUUUAAAAGGACAGCAAAAUAUAUUGAGUUUAACAGAUUUUGUAAGUAGCAGUUGGAAAUAGAACUAGAGAUUUUGAGUUGUCAAGAUGUUUUCACCCCUCCCCGCCUCCCAAAAAAAAAAAAAAUCCUUUUUAGUGAUCUACGUUUCAGUUGAUUAACCUCCACUGCAUAGCCAUUCAUCUAAAUAGUUUGUAAAUGUUCACCAAGCUGUAUUUGCUGUAUCUGAUAGUGGAUUAAUAAAACAACUUGUCUGCUUGCUUGCUUCCAAAGACAAUGACCCUGAUGUUUUGCUGCCUGGACAAUUUCAGAAGCUUUUGGCAAUAGGACUAAUGACCAGAUCGAAUAUGUAACCUUUUUAUUCAGGGUUAUCAUAUCGCUUAUAUGUUUUACUGAAUUUGAUGUGUACUUGUUUGGCUUUAGGUUCAUGGUGGAACAGAAGUGCAUAGAACUUAUGUGUGGUUUGCUAGACUUUGUCAAUCAAUUGAUUAUCUCUAUGAUUAUAAGAGGAUUAUUAAACCUGAUGCAGUUUGCAAAAAGGUCUGGAGAAAUCUCUAAAUAUGCUACGCAGGCCGAACAACUCGGUGGACGGUCCAAGGCUGAAGCGGCUAUGCGUAACUUCGGCAGCCUGGAUUGCGGCCCCAGGUUAAUCAAUUACUUAGAAGGCGAUUCUCCAAGAUCGGAUUACUCUCCAGUCCUGGAUAUCUUUCCAAGCUUGGGUAUCUUUGAUGAAAGUGAUUUGAGUGAUUAGUAUGUUAGACUGUAUGAGUAUUUUUAAACGAGUUGAUGCACGAGACAGCUAUGAAUUUCUCUUUUUAUAAUUAUCCUAAGAGCUCAUGGCAAUGCGAUGAAGUGAAUCAUGUCGGUGAUUUGGGGUUGUUUAGAUGAUGUUUUGGAAAUUUUUAUUUGGGACGAGUUUUAAUUUUAUUUCGGCUGGUUUACCUCUAAUUGGAGAUGUGUAAAAUCUGGAUUUUUGAAAACCAGCCAUUUGUUGUUAA